rnacentral:rRNA from 1 species
CCUACGGGAGGCAGCAGUGAGGAAUAUUGGACAAUGGGCGCAAGCCUGAUCCAGCCAUGCCGCGUGCAGGAUGACGGUCCUAUGGAUUGUAAACUGCUUUUAUACGAGAAGAAACACUCCUUCGUGAAGGAGCUUGACGGUAUCGUAAGAAUAAGGAUCGGCUAACUCCGUGCCAGCAGCCGCGGUAAUACGGAGGAUCCAAGCGUUAUCCGGAAUCAUUGGGUUUAAAGGGUCCGUAGGCGGUUUAAUAAGUCAGUGGUGAAAGCCCAUCGCUCAACGGUGGAACGGCCAUUGAUACUGUUAAACUUGAAUUAUUAGGAAGUAACUAGAAUAUGUAGUGUAGCGGUGAAAUGCUUAGAGAUUACAUGGAAUACCAAUUGCGAAGGCAGGUUACUACUAAUUGAUCGACGCUGAUGGACGAAAGCGUGGGUAGCGAACAGGAUUAGAUACCCUGGUAGUCCACGCCGUAAACGAUGGAUACUAGCUGUUGGGAGCAAUCUCAGUGGCUAAGCGAAAGUGAUAAGUAUCCCACCUGGGGAGUACGUUCGCAAGAUGAAACUUAAGGAAUUGAGG